GCCCAGGUGGUGGAAUUUGGUAUACACGUACGCUUGAGGUGCGUAUGCCGUAAGGCUUGAGGGUUCGAGUCCCUUCUUGGGCA
rnacentral:tRNA from 1 species